CGUUGUUAUAGAAUAUUGAGCAGAGUUCCCUGUACUAUUCAGUAGGUCCUUGUUGGUUAUCCGUUUUAAAUACUGCAGUGUAUACAUGACCAUCCCAAAUUUCUUAACUAUCCCAAUUAUGUGACAUAAUUGUAAAGUUUAAUUAUGAAAAGGAUACUCAAGUAAGUUUGUUUUUGCAGUGAAGGAGGAAACAGACAGAGCUGGACUCCCAUCGUAGGCCAGGCUGCGAACAUUAGGCUACACGCAUGGUCACCCUCCCAAUGGACUCUGAACUUUGUGCUCGGUGUCUAUAGAAACAGCAUACCAAUGGAAAACCAGACCCCCGGAUAAAAGAGCCUCAGGACUUGUACUUGGACUCUCCUUUGCCUAAAAGAAUAUGCUAAUUAUCUCUGUAACAGAACAAAGUGCCCACCAAGGCAGAAUGGACUUUAAGGGAGAAAGUCUUGGACCACGUGGUAUUCUGGUUCGGCUGUGCUGACUGGCAGGUGAAGACACGCCGAUCCCCCUUCUCCCUCUGGGAUCUGGCAGGAUUUGGACGGGGAUGACCUGACCCCUCUCCCAUACUGGAUAAUGACGCGCCUGCCUCCCAGUGCUCCACCUGGACCGGAGGCCGCCUUGAUGCCCAAUCCAGAGCCAAGUGAAGUUCCUGCAGCAGCCACUGCAUUUGCGCCAGCUCUCCCAGAGUUCGUAGAGCUGCCGUUUUGGCAGGCUCCGAUCCCGGUGACAGAAGCCUCUAGCCAAUACUUCCAGGAUCCGGCUCCAGCUGAACUGCCCAAGCUAUACCUGCCUCUCCCAGUGAGCACUGACAAGAAGGGGAGGGAGAUGUUGGAAUUAAGCAGAGACUGCGCUCUGCCACUCUGCCGGAGAGCCGGAGGGAACGAAAGAGAACAGACGAGAUGUGCAAUGCUAGCUGCUGCUCCGGGAAAGUCUAUCUCGGGCCCUCCGGAAAACCUCAUCUGCCUCAGGGACAGGACAGUCCUUCAACUGGUCCCAACGGAGGCCCUGUCCCCGUUACAGCCAAACCAGUGUGCCGGGUGCCAAGCUUUUGGCCACUGGAAGAAUGAAUGCCCUAAGGCAAGGAAGGAAGAGGAAGCUCCCGCAGUUGUGGGGCUUGCUGACUUGGAAAGUAAAUAGGGCUGCUGGGGCUCAGAGAUACCAGCUCCCCGAGAGCCCAUGGUAACCUUAAAAGUGGGGGACCAAAACAUUGACUUCAUGGUGGAUACAGGAGCAGAACUGUCGGUAGUAACAAAACCUGUGGCACCACUGUCCAAAAAGAGACUACCACUGUAACUGGGGUAUCGGGAGAAGAGAUGAUUAAAUCGUUUUGCCAGCCCAGAAAAUGUCAGAUGGGGGGGCGCACCAAGUGAUUCAUGAAUUCCUCUACAUUCCUGAGUGCCCAGUACCCCUGUUGGAAAGAGACUUGCUUUCCAAACUAGGAGCAGAAGUGGCUUUCUCCACUGAGGAGAGGCCCACCUUCCGGAUGGACACUAUGACUUAUUUGCUCUCUCUCAAUGCCACCCCAGGAUGAGUGGAGGUUGUAUGAGCCUCCGAAGGAAGAACCAGGUGGGCCAGAAGAGCAUGAGAGAGAGCUAACUCAAUUAUUCCCUGAGGUCUGGGCGGAAGACAACCCCGCCUUCCCCCAGGCUGGGUAAACAUCAAGCCCCAGUGGUAACAGAACUCAAACCAGGUACCAUCCUGGUUAGAAAGAGCCAGUACCCACUACCAAUAGAGGCCUGGGCCAGCAUACUACCCCACAUCAAUAGAUUGAAACAAGUGGGCAUUCUAGAAGAAGGACAGGACUAUAGGCCUGUACAAGAUCUCAGGCUAGUCAACUAGGCUACUGUGACUUUACACCCCACUGUUCCAAACCCCUAUACCUUACUUAGCCUCUUCCUACCGAGGACUAAAGUUUGUACUCGCCUAGAUCUCAAGGAUGCCUUCUUCUGCGUACGCCUCGCCCCAGCGUCACAGCCCAUCUUUGCCUUUGAAUGGGAAGAUCCAGUCAGGGGCACCAAACAUCAGCUCACCUGGACUCCCCCACAAGGGUUUAAUAACUCCCCAGCCAUAUUUGGGGAAGCCUUGGCUUCUGGCCUGGACUCAUUCCAUCCGAAAGAGUAUGGAUGUUGGCUCCUACAUACGUGGAUGACCUGCUGCUGGCUGCCGAGACCAAGGAAAAAUGCUGGAAAGGGACAAAAGCUCUGCCCCAGCUGCUGAUGGAAGCAGGUUACCGGGUGUCGAAGGAGAAGGCCCAGAUCUGCAAGGAGGAGUUAAAGUUGCAGGUAUUGCUCCUUGGAUCCAUCAUAUGAGGAUGAAGAGAACAUACCACGCAGACCCAGAAAAUGCUGAGUGGACUGCACAGCGGCCCAGCCUUAAGAAGAAGGAAAAGAAGAUCCCAGAUGAGGCCCUUGAGGAUGAAGCCGCAUAAUCAACUCCUGCUGCUUGGUCUCAUCAACGUGCACAUUACUACGCGGACUUCACAAUACCUCCAGCUAUUGGGUAUGUGGGGCUAUGCCUCUGUCUGUGAUGGAUGGACUUCCCUGGUGGCUGUCACUGCUCCACUAAGGAGAUUUUAAACCACUCUGCUCUUUUCUGGGACACAGUCAUAAUCUCUCCCUGCUCUCUGGGUGUAAGCCAGACCUACAGUGAAUAGACUCGGGUCAUAAGGUUACAUUUGAUAUAAAUGCCAGUGUAACAAAAGCCUAACCUACAACAAGCCCCAGUAAAUCUACUUUAUUUACAUGCUAGGUGGACAAGAUCUGUGUUUCAGUGGCAUGAAUAUAUUGCUGCUUUAUUCAUACCCUCUAUAGGGACAACAGAUAUUAUGAUUAAAGUAGAGGCCUUGACUAAUUUCACAAAACAGGCCCUCCUAGAUAGAACAAAAGCCAUCCAAGCUUUAAAUGAAAAGCAAAUCCAAAUAAGAAAAGGUGUAGUUCAAAUAGAAUGGCUUUGGACAUACAGCUGCUCAAGGAGGGACCUGUGCUGUAAUUAAGGUUGAACGUUGUGUAUGCAUUCCUGACUUAUCUGGCAAUAUAUCCACUGCUUUAGAUGACAUGAAAAACCAGGUAAAAGUGAUGUCAAAUGAAAACAUUCCUUUCUGGACUUUGCUCCUAUCUUGGGUGAAGGGCGAUUGGUGGAAAACUGUAUUUACCAUUGUUAUAGUUGCCUUGGUAGUUCUGCUUUGUGGACCCUGAAUUUUACAAUGUAUUAUGAGCUUUGUAACCCGAAGGUUGAUGUCAUUCUCCCAAAUUGGCGGUUGGAGAGCCAGGGUGCAAUAUAUCCCUAUGAGUGAUGCUCAUAAUAUGAGUUAAGAGCAUCAAGAGCGGGAAUGAAGGAGGAAACAGACAGAGCUGGACUCCAUCGUAGGCCAGGCCGCGAACAUUAGGCUACACACAUGGUCAGCCUCCCAAUGGACUCUGAACUUUGUGCCCGUGUCUAUAGAAACGGCAUACCAAUGGAAAACCAGACCCCCGGAUAAAAGAGCCUCAGGACUUGUACUUGGACUCUCCGUUGCCCAAAAGAAUAUGCUAAUUAUCUCUGUAACAGAACAAAGUGGUAAAUUCCAUUAUGUUUAUCGGGAUAUGACCACAGGCCUGUUGAUAAAUAUCCACUGUUUAUCUAGUCUUGUGACACGUGAAUCAUGGGUUAACUUUGAUCGUGUCUCUCUUUUACCUUGUUCGGACUAGUUUCAAGGAAUCUGGGGAGGUGGGUUUGAGCAAGUACACUUAGGGUAUAUAAGGUUUUCACAAAAACUGGUCGGGGUCCUUGGCUAAGAGGAGACUCUGCCUCGGGCCCGCCGGUGUAAUAAACUGCGCUCCAUCUGCAUUGUCCUUCUGAGUGAGUUUGUUUCCCGGAACGCGUGGCUACAACAGCAGCUUAUCACAGCAGUCUGUCUUUGAAUAAGACUAUGCAUACUGGACAAGACAUUUAUAGGAC
ensembl:lncRNA